rnacentral:rRNA from 1 species
UGCGAACUCCUACGGGAGGCAGCAGUGGGGAAUAUUGCACAAUGGGCGAAAGCCUGAUGCAGCGACGCCGCGUGGGGGAUGACGGCCUUCGGGUUGUAAACCUCUUUCACCAUCGACGAAGGUUCGGGUUUUCUCGGAUUGACGGUAGGUGGAGAAGAAGCACCGGCCAACUACGUGCCAGCAGCCGCGGUAAUACGUAGGGUGCGAGCGUUGUCCGGAAUUACUGGGCGUAAAGAGCUCGUAGGUGGUUUGUCGCGUUGUUCGUGAAAUCUCACGGCUUAACUGUGAGCGUGCGGGCGAUACGGGCAGACUUGAGUACUGCAGGGGAGACUGGAAUUCCUGGUGUAGCGGUGGAAUGCGCAGAUAUCAGGAGGAACACCGGUGGCGAAGGCGGGUCUCUGGGCAGUAACUGACGCUGAGGAGCGAAAGCGUGGGGAGCGAACAGGAUUAGAUACCCGUGUAGUCCAGAUG